rnacentral:rRNA from 1 species
CAGCAGCCGCCGCGGGAAAACGAAGGGGGCUAGCGUUGUUCGGAUUUACUGGGCGUAAAGCGCACGUAGGCGGACUUUUAAGUCAGGGGUGAAAUCCCGGGGCUCAACCCCGGAACUGCCUUUGAUACUGGGAGUCUUGAGUUCGAGAGAGGUGAGUGGAAUUGCGAGUGUAGAGGUGAAAUUCGUAGAUAUUCGCAGGAACACCAGUGGCGAAGGCGGCUCACUGGCUCGAUACUGACGCUGAGGUGCGAAAGCGUGGGGAGCAAACAGGAUUAGAUACCCCAGUAGUCCCUGUCUCUUAUAC